rnacentral:sRNA from 1 species
CGCAGGUUGUUUGUGGCACAAUCUCCAGAAGGAGACAUAUUGUUAGAAUGGCUAACACUGACAUGCUCUCUUUGAUGAAGUACUGAAAAUCAGACUGUCUUGUUGGAGAUGCUGUGGUUCCUU